GGAUAUACCUUCUCAGAAGCUGCACAGGAGGAAAGCAGUGACAAAGAAAGAAGUUGUCAUUCUUUGCACGAAACUGGAUGGCUUCUACAGGGAGCCAGGCCUCUGAUAUAGACGAGAUUUUUGGAUUCUUCAAUGAUGGCGAACCUCCCACCAAAAAGCCCAGGAAGCUGCUUCCAAGCUUAAAAACUAAGAAGCCUCGAGAACUUGUGCUAGUGAUUGGAACAGGCAUUAGUGCUGCAGUUGCGCCCCAAGUUCCAGCCCUCAAAUCCUGGAAGGGGUUAAUUCAGGCCUUACUGGAUGCUGCCAUUGAUUUUGAUCUUUUAGAAGAUGAGGAGAGCAAAAAGUUUCAGAAAUGUCUCCAUGAAGACAAGAACCUGGUCCAUGUUGCCCAUGACCUUAUCCAGAAACUCUCUCCUGUGAGUACCCUAGUAUGUGCCACAGUAUUUGGAAUUUCCUAAAAUUUAACUAUCACAACUAGCAUGAUUUGGCUGUCAAAACUAGCAUGCCAAAUGUAACAGGGAUAUUCAUUUACAGCUUGUAGGUUUCCAUAACAUUUGACUCUUCUGCGCAAUGUCUGUUUAUGGACCCUACUCAGGACAGUUAUCUUAACCCCAUUUCACUGUGUGUCUAUGAGAGAGAAAUGAUGUUGAGGA
rnacentral:sRNA from 1 species